rnacentral:rRNA from 1 species
GAUGAACGCUGGCGGCGUGCCUAAUACAUGCAAGUCGAGCGAACAGACGAGGAGCUUGCUCCUCUGACGUUAGCGGCGGACGGGUGAGUAACACGUGGAUAACCUACCUAUAAGACUGGGAUAACUUCGGGAAACCGGAGCUAAUACCGGAUAAUAUAUUGAACCGCAUGGUUCAAUAGUGAAAGGCGGUUUUGCUGUCACUUAUAGAUGGAUCCGCGCCGCAUUAGCUAGUUGGUAAGGUAACGGCUUACCAAGGCAACGAUGCGUAGCCGACCUGAGAGGGUGAUCGGCCACACUGGAACAGAGAAACGGUCCAGACUCCUACGGGAGGAAGCAGUAGGGAAUCUUACGCAAUGGGCGAAAGACUGACGGAGAAACGCCGCGUGAGUGAUGAAGGUCUUCGGAUCGUAAAACUCUGUUAUUAGGGAAGAACAAAUGUGUAAGUAACUAUGCACGUCUUGACGGUACCUAAUCAGAAAGCCACGGCUAACUACGUG